rnacentral:rRNA from 1 species
GACGAACGCUGGCGGCGUGCCUAAUACAUGCAAGUAGAACGCUGAAGAGAGGAGCUUGCUCUUCUUGGAUGAGUUGCGAACGGGUGAGUAACGCGUAGGUAACCUGCCUUGUAGCGGGGGAUAACUAUUGGAAACGAUGGCUAAUACCGCAUAACAAUGGAUGACACAUGUCAUUUAUUUGAAAGGGGCAAUUGCUCCACUACAAGAUGGACCUGCGUUGUAUUAGCUAGUAGGUGAGGUAAUGGCUCACCUAGGCGACGAUACAUAGCCGACCUGAGAGGGUGAUCAGCCACACUGGGACUGAGACACGGCCCAGACUCCUACGGGAGGCAGCAGUAGGGAAUCUUCGGCAAUGGGGGCAAACCUGACCGAGCUACGCCGCGUGAGUGAAGAAGGUUUUCGGAUCGUAAAGCUCUGUUGUAAGCCAAGAACGGGUGUGAGAGUGGAAAGUUCACACUGUGACGGUAGCUUACCAGAAAGGGACGGCUAACUACGUG